rnacentral:rRNA from 1 species
CGCUGGCGGCGUGCUUCAUACAUGCAAGUCGAACGAGAAACUGACUUCGGUUAGUGGAAAGUGGCGGACGGGUGAGUAAUAUGUAGAGAAUCUGCCCUUGAGUGGGGGACAACAGAGGGAAACUUCUGCUAAUACCCCAUAUGAGCUUAGUUGAAAUACUAAUCUUGAAAACUCCGGUGCUCAAGGAUGAGUCUGCAUCUGAUUAGCUAGUUGGCGGUGUAAUGGACCACCAAGGCGACGAUCAGUAGCUGGUUUGAGAGGAUGAUCAGCCACAAUGGGACUGAGACACGGCCCAUACUCCUACGGGAGGCAGCAGUAGGGAAUUUUGCGCAAUGGGCCGAAAGCCUGACGCAGCAACGCCGCGUGAACGAUUAAGCCCUUCGGGGUGUAAAGUUCUGUCAGUAGGGACGAAACUUGACGGUACCUACAGAGGAAGCACCGGCUAACUCCGUGCCAGCCGCGGC